UAGUCGGUUAUGGCAUCUGCUUAACACGCAGAACGUCCCCAGUUCGAUCCUGGGCGAAAUCA
rnacentral:tRNA from 1 species